AGCGAUGAAGGCCUUCGGGUUGUAAAGCUCUUUAGCAGGGGAGGAAGGCGAAAGCUUGACCUAUCCUGAAAAUAAGCACGGGCUAAGUUCGUGC
rnacentral:rRNA from 1 species